rnacentral:rRNA from 1 species
AGUGCGUGAAACCGCUCAGAGGUAAGCAGGUGGAGUUGAACUGCAAGCUUUGAGAAUUCAGCUGGUGAGGUUGGUUUGGGCUUGGUCAAAUUGGUUGGGCCCCGAAGUACGUUAAACCACGUGUCCUUUCCCUUUGGGUUGGGAUGUGCGAUACACUUACCAAGUGUUGCACGCUUUGGGUGUUCAUCGAGCCUCCUUGUCAGUGCACUUUCUCAGAGUGGUCACCACGACCGACGCCGCUGUCAGGCUGUCAUAGUUAAACCGGUCUUGUAGUGUCCUUGUGGCAUUGCCUGGUCGGGAUGGCAGGUAGCUUGUUGGCUCGCUUCGGCUUGCUUUCGAGUGUAAUCAGCUGACUGUGACGGUUCUGUGCAGUGCGUCGGAGACGGCGGCCAGUGGUGUGUGCAUGCGUGCCCGAUUUGUUGGCGUACCCUGGUUUGGUUUCUGUGUUGCCUGUGAUAGCAGGCCUAGUUAUGGCUGGGGUUCGUUCGGCGAAUGGUUGCGUGUGUGGCACUCCAAGGGCCAAUAGUCUGUGGUGUAGUGGUAGACUA